CCCUUAGAUGUUCUGGGCCGCACGCGCGCUACACUGAUGCAUUCAACGAGUCUAAAACCUGCUCUGAUAGGGGUGGGUAAUCUUUUGAAUGUGCAUCGUGAUUGGGAUAGAUGGUUGCAAUUUUUCAUCUUCAACGAGGAAUGCCUAGUAAACGCAAGUCAUCAGCUUGCAUUGAUUACGUCCCUGCCCUUUGUACACACCGCCCGUCGCUCCUACCGAUUGAAUGAUCCGAUGAAUAUCAUGGAUUGAGGAUGCAAGUAGGUUCGCCUAUCUUCAUCUUCGAGAAGUGAAGUAAAUCUUAUCAUUUAGAGGAAGGAGAAGUCGUAACA
rnacentral:rRNA from 1 species